rnacentral:lncRNA from 1 species
UAAUUUGGUAAAUAUAAGUUUUUUUUAUCAAAUAAACAACUAAUAUGCUACAACGAGUCUACUGUAGGUCGAAUUCACGACCUCUCACUUAUAAGGAGAGACGGUAUUGGGCUGGUAAAUAUAAGUUUUUGAAACCCAAUACUUUGUGUUAUUUGAUUUUUAAGAGAAAAAUUGACGUCAUUGAAAUUUUUUUAUUACAAAUUGAUCAAAUAAUGGAGGUUGGGUGACAUUCUAUGAGAAAUAAAAAAUUUAUCAAGGAAUUGAGGUCGUGAAAGAGGUUUGAAAAAAAAAAAAUCAAGGAAUAGAGGUCUCAAUGAUAGCAUGCAAAAAGAAAAAAAUUAAAAUAAUGAGAGGUCUAGAGAAUAAAUAAGAGGUAUAAUGAGCAAAUUAUCAAGAUAUAUGUGAAUAAUAUAUCUAAGGUUAUUUUAGGAAUUUGAAAGGAGCAAAUACUUGUAGUUAAAAUUAAAAAGGAGGUGCAAAGAGCAUGAGAGGUAUACUGAGCAAAUUUGGAGGUCCCAAUAGCGACACUCUUAUAUGUCUUUGGGAGCUGGGUUUGAACUGCUCUAAAAUAAUUAUUAAACCCUGGCCUUCACCUUUUUUUCAAAUGUCCCAAUGUUCUCAUGAAAGAACAAAGCAAAAGAGUUUCUAGAAUGUCUAUAGUAUUAAGUGAGUGAUCUUAAUUUAGUGAACUACCAUGGAGAUUUGAUUUUUUUCUUUUCUUUUCGGUAAGGAGAUGAGAUGAACCCUAGAUUUGGGUGUUUUUUUGUUUGAUCUUGUUUGGUUUUACUUACAGUUCUUUUUUUUUUUUAUUUUUUUAAGAAAAAGUUGGUAUUUAACUUAAUAAAGUUAAAUAACUAGUUAAUUGUUUACCUUAUUAUGACAUAAUCAAAAAUACUACAUGUACGGACUUCCUAUUAGACCCAAAAGUAGGACCACUAAGGCAUGUUGACGUGGUCCUCCUGGAGGAACNGUAAAAAAUUUACUCGAAUAUUAUGGGGUAGCUUGAGAGACAUAAGAAGUGAAUGUAUAGUGUUUAGAAUUAGAAGUGUAAUAAGAAAAGUUACUAGCCAAAAUUUUUGANAAAUUUAUCCUANNNNNNNNNNNNNNNNNNNNUUAUGACAUAUCAAAAAAUACUACAUGACGGCUUCCUAUUGACCAAAGAGGACCACUAGGCAUGUUGACGUGGUCCUCCUGGAGGACAGAAAAAUUUCUCGAUAUUAUGGGGAGCUUGAGAGCAUAAGAGUGAAUGAUGUGUUUAGAAUUAGAAGUGUAUAAGAAAAGUUAUGCCAAAUUUUGGAUAAAUUUAUCCUAUAAAUGGGUCUUAUAAAAUUUAUGUUGAAUAAUUUAACAAUAUUUGACUGUUUUCAAAUAUUUGAGUACACAAAAUAUAUAUUUUUAAUUAAUAAAUCUUUUAAAAAAACAAAUCGCCUAGUCCCCGUCUAGGUUGUCCAGGAUCUAGGUUGCGAAUUACUGCCCGCCUACCGCCUGGUGCUUUUUAGAACAUUGUCUAAAACUAACCCAAGUUGUUUCGGAAGUCUUCAUUUAGCGCUGAACAUAAGAUGUGCAUGCCUUGGAAAGUUGGAGUCCUGAAAAGACUAGCUCUUAAAUAAUGUAUUACGUAGAGUAACAACAAUACAAUCACAUGUAAUAGCAAAACUUCAACUAGAAUCAUGGAUCUCAGAAUCCUUUAUAUCUGUCAAACCUCAAUACAUGAAAACAUAAUAUGUAGACAUCAAUCCUUUAUACCAGUACUGGAUGCUGGAUUAGAUUUCCCCAACAGGAAAGGCAUUUCUUUCUUCCAUUUUGAGCUCUCUCUCUCUCUCUCUNCNUN